rnacentral:rRNA from 1 species
GGCUUGUUGACUAUAAUUUCAAGUCUGACCUGCCCAGUGAGGAGUUUAACGGCCGCGGUAUAUUGACCGUGCAAAGGUAGCAUAAUCAUUAGUUUUUUAAUUGAAAGCUUGAAUGAAAGGUUUGAUGAGAAAAAUUCUGUCUCUGUAAAAAUUUAUUAGAAUUUUAUUUUUAAGUUAAAAAGCUUAAAUUUAAGUAGAAGACGAGAAGACCCUAUAGAGUUUUAUAUUUUUAUAAGUGGUAAAGUUUUAGGAUGGUGAAAUUUUAUUAUUUGUAGGAUUAUUUUGUUGGGGUGAUGGAAAAAUUAAAUAAACUUUUUUUUGUUUGGCACAUUAAUUUAUGAGUUGCAUGAUCCUGAAUUUUAGAUUAUAAGAUUAAACUACCUUAGGGAUAACAGCGUAAUUUUUUUUAGAGUUCUUAUCGAAAAAAAAGAUUGCGACCUCGAUGUUGGAUUAAAAUUAAUUAUUGGUGUAGAAGCUAAUAUAUUAGGUCUGUUCGACCUUUGAAAUUUUACAUGAUCUGAGUUUAAACCGGUGUGAG